rnacentral:rRNA from 1 species
GGAGCUUGCUCCGCUGACGAGUGGCGAACGGGUGAGUAAUAUAUCGGAACGUACCCAAGAGUGGGGGAUAACGUAGCGAAAGUUACGCUAAUACCGCAUACGAUCUAAGGAUGAAAGCAGGGGACCUUCGGGCCUUGUGCUCCUGGAGCGGCCGAUAUCUGAUUAGCUAGUUGGUGAGGUAAAGGCUCACCAAGGCGACGAUCAGUAGCUGGUCUGAGAGGACGACCAGCCACACUGGAACUGAGACACGGUCCAGACUCCUACGGGAGGCAGCAGUGGGGAAUUUUGGACAAUGGGCGCAAGCCUGAUCCAGCAAUGCCGCGUGAGUGAAGAAGGCCUUCGGGUUGUAAAGCUCUUUUGUCAGGGAAGAAACGGCUGUGGCUAAUAUCCACGGCUAAUGACGGUACCUGAAGAAUAAGCACCGGCUAACUACGUGCCAGCAGCCGCGGUAAUACGUAGGGUGCAAGCGUUAAUCGGAAUUACUGGGCGUAAAGCGUGCGCAGGCGGUUUUGUAAGUCUGUCGUGAAAUCCCCGGGCUCAACCUGGGAAUUGCGAUGGAGACUGCAAGGCUAGAAUCUGGCAGAGGGGGGUAGAAUUCCACGUGUAGCAGUGAAAUGCGUAGAGAUGUGGAGGAACACCGAUGGCGAAGGCAGCCCCCUGGGUCAAGAUUGACGCUCAUGCACGAAAGCGUGGGGAGCAAACAGGAUUAGAUACCCUGGUAGUCCACGCCCUAAACGAUGUCUACUAGUUGUCGAGUUUUAAUUAACUUGGUAACGCAGCUAACGCGUGAAGUAGACCGCCUGGGGAGUACGGUCGCAAGGUUAAAACUCAAAGGAAUUGACGGGGACCCGCACAAGC